CAAUAGCGUAUAUUAAAGUUGUUGCAGUUAAAAAGCUCGUAGUUGAAUUUCUGUCAGGAGUGACCGGGCCUUUGGAUGAACUUCCAUUGUUUUUUGCUCUGUUUGUCAUCUCUAGACAUCCUGAAAUAUUUUUUAAAAAUAUUUCUCUUUUACUGUUAGCAAAAUAGAGUGUUCCAAGCAAAGCGUAGUUUUGAAUACAUUAGAAUGGAAUAAUAAGAUAGGACUUUGGUGCUACUUUGUUGGUUUGCACACCAAGGUAAUGAUUAAUAGGGACAGUUGGGGGUAUUCGUAUUUAAUUGUCAGAGGUGAAAUUCUUGGAUUUAUGAAAGACGAACUACUGCGAAAGCAUUUACCAAGGAUGUUUUCAUUAA
rnacentral:rRNA from 1 species